rnacentral:rRNA from 1 species
CUGGCGGCGUGCUUAACACAUGCAAGUCGAACGAGAAGAGAUGAGAAGCUUGCUUCUUAUCGAUUCGAGUGGCAAACGGGUGAGUAACGCGUAAGCAACCUGCCCUUCAGAUGGGGACAACAGCUGGAAACGGCUGCUAAUACCGAAUACGUUCUUUUUGUCGCAUGGCAGAGGGAAGAAAGGGAGGCUCUUCGGAGCUUUCGCUGAAGGAGGGGCUUGCGUCUGAUUAGCUAGUUGGAGGGGUAACGGCCCACCAAGGCGACGAUCAGUAGCCGGUCUGAGAGGAUGAACGGCCACAUUGGAACUGAGACACGGUCCAGACUCCUACGGGAGGCAGCAGUGGGGAAUCUUCCGCAAUGGGCGAAAGCCUGACGGAGCAACGCCGCGUGAGUGAAGAAGGUCUUCGGAUCGUAAAGCUCUGUUGUCGGGGACGAAUGUUGAGAUCUAGAAUAUAGAUUUCAAAUGACGGUACCUGACGAGGAAGCCACGGCUAACUACGUG